GACGAACGCUGGCGGCGUGCUUAACACAUGCAAGUCGAACGAUGAAACCUAGCUUGCUAGGUCGAUUAGUGGCGAACGGGUGAGUAACACGUGACUAACCUGCCCCUUUCUCUGGGAUAACGCUCCGAAAGGAGUGCUAAUACCGGAUACUCACAUCGAGGCAUAUGCCUUGGUGUGGAAAGUUUUUCGGAAAGGGAUGGGGUCGCGGCCUAUCAGCUUGUUGGUGAGGUAACGGCUCACCAAGGCGACGACGGGUAGCCGGCCUGAGAGGGCGACCGGCCACACUGGGACUGAGACACGGCCCAGACUCCUACGGGAGGCAGCAGUGGGGAAUAUUGCACAAUGGGCGCAAGCCUGAUGCAGCGACGCCGCGUGAGGGAUGAAGGUCUUCGGAUUGUAAACCUCUUUCAGUAGGGACGAAGCGAAAGUGACGGUACCUAAAGAAGAAGCACCGGCUAACUACGUGCCAGCAGCCGCGGUAA
rnacentral:rRNA from 1 species